CAGAUCCCUAUGGGGUGCAGCAGUAGGGAAUAUUGCUCAAUGGGGGAAACCCUGAAGCAGCAACGCCGCGUGGAGGAUGAAGGUUUUCGGAUUGUAAACUCCUUUUGUUAGAGAAGAUAAUGACGGUAUCUAACGAAUAAGCACCGGCUAACUCCGUGCCAGCAGCCGCGGUAAUACGGAGGGUGCAAGCGUUACUCGGAAUCACUGGGCGUAAAGAGCGCGUAGGCGGGAUAGCAAGUCAGAUGUGAAAUCCUAUGGCUUAACCAUAGAACUGCAUUUGAAACUGUUAUUCUAGAGUAUGGGAGAGGUAGGUGGAAUUCUUGGUGUAGGGGUAAAAUCCGUAGAGAUCAAGAGGAAUACUCAUUGCGAAGGCGACCUGCUAGAACAUAACUGACGCUGAUGCGCGAAAGCGUGGGGAGCAAACAGGAUUAGAUACCCAAGUAGUCC
rnacentral:rRNA from 1 species